rnacentral:misc_RNA from 1 species
AAAAAACUUAAUCAAUAAAAUAUAAUCUUGACGUAACAAUGUGCCAUCUGAUGUACUAAUUGUCAUUUAAAACCUACACAAGUUCCUAGAGAUACAAUUUCCAGUAAUCUUGCUUAUACCAUAAAAAAAAUGUAAUACAAAUCCUAGACUUUAAUAUAAUAAAUUAAAGCCUUUUUAAACCAAGUACCAGUGGCAUACUCCAUUCAAAA